rnacentral:rRNA from 1 species
UACGAAGGGGGCUAGCGUUGCUCGGAAUUACUGGGCGUAAAGCGCACGUAGGCGGAAUGUUAAGUCAGGGGUGAAAUCCCGAGGCUCAACCUCGGAACUGCCUUUGAUACUGGGGAUCUCGAGUCCGGGAGAGGUGAGUGGAACUGCGAGUGUAGAGGUGAAAUUCGUAGAUAUUCGGAAGAACACCAGUGGCGAAGGCGACUUACUGGACACAUAUUGACGCUGAGGUGCGAAAGCGUGGGGAGCAAACAGG